rnacentral:rRNA from 1 species
AUUGAACGCUGGCGGCAUGCCUUACACAUGCAAGUCGAACGGCAGCACGGGUGCUUGCACCUGGUGGCGAGUGGCGAACGGGUGAGUAAUACAUCGGAACAUGUCCUGUAGUGGGGGAUAGCCCGGCGAAAGCCGGAUUAAUACCGCAUACGAUCUACGGAUGACAGCGGGGGACCUUCGGGCCUCGCGCUAUAGGGUUGGCCGAUGGCUGAUUAGCUCGUUGGUGGGGUGAAGGCCUACCAAGGCGACGAUCAGUAGCUGGUCUGAGAGGACGACCAGCGACACUGGGACGGAGACACGGCCCAGACGCCUACGGGAGGCAGCAGUGGGGAAUUUUGGACAAUGGGCGAAAGCCUGAUCCAGCAAUGCCGCGUGUGUGAAGAAGGCCUUCGGGUUGUAAAGCACUUUUGUCCGGAAAGAAAUCCUUGGCCCUAAUACGGUCGGGGGAUGACGGUACCGGAAGAAUAAGCACCGGCUAACUACGUG